UUCUACACUGCUUGAUGAGUUUGUAGAAUAGGCCUAGGAUCUAUCUCCAUUCAUCCUUACUGUAACGACUGUUAAAUUGUUAAGUAAGUGCUGCCAUUUUUGACCGUAACAAUAUACCGAUACUGGAGUUCCGGCAGGAUUGAUCUUUGCUGAGAAAUUGAUGGUAUGUUAAUGGUAUAACUGUCCUUGUAUAUAAAUUAACUUUCCAAAAUUCCUGUUUCUAGAGCCCUAAAGGGAAUGAGAGGUCACCAGGUCUGAUGAGCCAUAGAUCUUGGUGCUCCAGAAGUCCUAUCGUUCUACUGCUUCUCAAGUUUGCUAUCGUAACUCUUUUCCUACUUUCCGUAGCUUCUCGCUGAGGUCCUAGGCCCUGGGAGGAGAAAUCAUUUCAAUGCAUCCUCGUUCCACAGCACUUCUCCCCAGGCCAAGGCUGGGUUGUGCUUCCUGAUGAGUCUGGAAGAGCAUGCCCAUUGCAGCGCUUUGACGGGGCCCAGUCCAAGACCUGCAGGACAGCAAACAUCAUUCUUGCUGCAGUUUGAUGCAUUCGUGCCCCUUCUUCACUCUGUGUACUCUCCUGAUUGGUUUUUCCUUUCAAAUCCCAAGGCACAUUUUUUUCCUAUAGCUUUCCUCCUGGAGAUGACCUUCCUUCCUUUCUCUGUUUCAAAAAACAAAAAGUAAUAACAGCUCUAUCUGGCUAUCCAGAACUUGGGAGGAGUUCAGCUGCGUUAGAAGAUAUGAAUGGAGGAUAGUCUGGAUCCUCAGGAUACCAAAAGAAGAAACUGCUACAUCCUAGCAGCAGUACCAUCAUAUGCUUUGAAGACAGGAAAAAGAAGUAGUACCACUCAGGGAUUUCCUACACUCUGCCACUUGGGAAACAGAGUACUUCUGGGACUGCUUCUUCAAGCACAACAGUAUCUUCCAGCCUGUUACAGUAUGUUUGGAUCCGUGGGAGAACAGACUCUGCCCCCAUCUCCCAUCUUCAUUAUAAGAAAACAAGUGAGGAAACAAUGAAAAUGACCCCAAAAAAGAAUAAUUAUGUAAGUAGAAGCAACGUGUAUUCUUCAUUGCAAUUGUGAUUUUCAAAGGUAUCUUAAGUCAUUUCAG
rnacentral:lncRNA from 1 species